rnacentral:rRNA from 1 species
UACGUAGGUGGCAAGCGUGUCCGGAUUUACUGGGCGUAAAGGGUGCGUAGGCGGACAAUUAAGUCAGAUGUGAAAUCCCAGGGCUCAACCUUGGGGCUGCAUUUGAUACUGGUUGUCUAGAGUGCAGGAGAGGAGAGUGGAAUUCCUAGUGUAGCGGUGAAAUGCGUAGAUAUUAGGAAGAACACCAGUGGCGAAGGCGACUCUCUGGACUGUAACUGACGCUGAGGCACGAAAGCGUGGGGAGCGAACA